rnacentral:ncRNA from 1 species
UGCGGUGUACGCAACUGGCGAUAGGCGCGGCGCCCCGGGCGGGUGGCCGUGCUGACGUGGACACCAUCGCGCGACCCCGCGCGCAACCACUGGGAAGCGUACCGCCGGCUGGCUCCGGCGUUCAGCCGUUCGCCUGGGCAGCCCUU